rnacentral:misc_RNA from 1 species
GAUGAAGAACGCAGCGAAAUGCGAUAAGUAAUGUGAAUUGCAGAAUUCAGUGAAUCAUCGAAUCUUUGAACGCAUCUUGCGCUCCUUGGUAUUCUGAGGAGCAUGCCUGUUUGAGUGUCAUUAAAUUCUCAACUACACUGACUUUGAAUUGGUGUGGCUUGGAUUUGGGGGGAAAAUUGUUGUGGGCUUUUUGUAAAGUCUGCUCCCCUGAAAUUGAUUAGCGGUACCUUUGUGGAACUGUCUACAGGUGUGAUAAUUAUCUACAUCUUAGACAUCUGCUGGAAUGCUGCUUUCUAAACCUUACUUGUAUUGACAAUCUUGACCUCAAAUCAGGUAGGACUACCCGCUGAACUUAAGCAUAUCAAUAAGCGGAGGA